GUGCUCACUUCAGCAGCACAUAUUGGAAUGAUACAGAGAAGAUUAGCAUGGCCCCUGUGCAAGGAUGACAUGCAAAUUUGUGAAUAUUCCAUAUUUUU
rnacentral:snRNA from 1 species